rnacentral:misc_RNA from 1 species
CCUCCUUACCUAUACGACUAACUCAAUACCUAAAGUGCAGAGAUGCAUGUGAGUGUUCACACAGAUUACUUGUUAACUUCUUCGGAAGUAGAGUGAAACACACCGCUUGCCGGUUAAGUGUUGUUCUUUAACAAUUUGGAAAGCUGAUAGUACUAACUGAAGGCGCAUGAAUGACGAUUCGUUGUUAUUGAUGUGAUGAUGUUAGUGCGAAAAACGUUUAUGCGAAAGCAUUAACACUUGAGUUCUCAAAAACACUGUUUAAGUGUCUUGAAUAUUCUAAAAACUAAGGCGAGUCCACUUCCUGGUCGGAGGUUGAGACAAGUAAAAAACCAGCCUGGUCAUUGAUAUGACCCCANAUGUUCCCGCAANUGAAAACUCCNUUUNGGUUUGUAUUGGGUUUAAAUUGACCCAAAUCCUUAUAACGGUUGUAUGUCCUUUGGCCAAAAGGGGCCNNAAUUUCCAAG